rnacentral:rRNA from 1 species
UACGUAGGUGGCAAGCGUUAUCCGGAAUUAUUGGGCGUAAAGAGCGCGCAGGUGGUUGAUUAAGUCAGAUGUGAAAGCCCGUGGCUUAACUGCGGGAUUGCAUCAGAAACUGCUUUGCUAGAGUGCAGGAGAGGUAAGUGGAAUUCCUAGUGUAGCGGUGAAAUGCGUAGAUAUUAGGAGGAACACCAGUGGCGAAGGCGGCUUUCUGGACUGAUACUGACGCUGAGGAACGAAAGCGUGGGGAGCAAACAGGAUUA